CCCUCCCCAUAGGAAGCGGCUGCCAUGCCUUUCCAUUGAGUUCUUUUGUGAAAAUUAGAUUCUAACUAAGGCUGAAUAUCCUUUGGGAUACAGGCUGCGGGUAGGGUGGGGAGGUGCUCUGUACAAAUGCUCAUGCUCCGAGCCUGGGACUUCUCGUCUUCUCACUCCAUUAAAUCCCUAUUAUAAAAGUUAUCUCCACAAAGCCUAUUAUAGUAUUCUGAGAACAAACUGGACCAUGAAUAACUUAGUUGGAAGUGUAGAUUAUUUUCUACUCGAGGAAACAAAUUUAGACAUGACAACAGAUUAACUAGGAGAAUAGUGAUCAAUCUUAGAUGGAUUCAGAGCUUCCCUCUUAGUCCAGAGCACCCUUGCUUUCCCUCUUAAUGCUCAAGAUGCCCUUCUUUGUCUUAAGCACGUCCCAGUGAUGACACUGUCUGCCAGCACCGUAGAAGUCUAACAGGAGAUGACCUCCUUCGGGCUGUGGAUCUGUAGGCAGACAGAUUGGCCAAGGGAGGGCCUGUACUCAGAUGUGGGGUGAAAUGAUAUAAACAGGAUAAUUAAGUACAAUUAUUAUUUAAAUUUUUGUUUGUUUGUUUGUUUUUUAUGGAGUCCUAGUAUGGUGGUGCACUCCUUGACUCACAGUACUCCAGAGGUGGAGGGCAGGCCGAUCUCAGUGAGCUCAAGGCCAGUCUGGUCUAUGAGGGUCUCACAGUGAACCUGGAGCUCACCCAUUUAGGUUUGACUGAGACCCAAGGAUCUUCUCAUCUCAGCCUCCCAGGCUUGCUCGACUACAGUCGUCUUCUUUGUCACAUGGGUGCUGGAGAUCCGAACUCAGUCCUUCCAGCUUGUGGAGCAAGCGCUGAGCCAUCCCUCUGUUUUCCCAAGCCCUUGGACCUUUUCAGCGUUUAGACUUGGCUAAGAAAAUGUGACAUUGGGCUGAAGAUAUUCAGAGGACGUGAAAGUGGGCGAUCAGGCCCUGGAUCCAAACUCCUGCUGUCUCCCCACAUGCAAAACAAGAACUGAAAAACGUAAAGACUCUCGGGUUGGCGGUCAAGCCUGGGUUCCAUCUCAGCACUGAAACAAUGCUCUGGUGUUCACGGGGGUAUUUGUGCAGCUGUUCCUGAAGUUCUGAAGUCCCUUGCUCUGUUGGUAACCGCGUGCACUCUGUCCCUGUCUCCUGGUUGGCUGUUGUUCCAAAUGUUUUCUCGUCCUUUUGCUCUCUUUCCCUUUCAGGCUCUCCCCUUCUGUCUUCCCUCCUUCCCGUCAUUGCUUCCUUCUCUUUUCUCUGCCCUCUCUUUCCUCCUGUCUUUUUUCUUUCUAAUGAUUCAUUUAUUCUUAUUUUAGGUGCAUACAUUCUUCAUGUACGUCCAUGUGAAAGUGUCAGAUCCCCUGGAGCUGGAGUUACAGACAGUUGUGAACUGCCAUGUGGGUGCUGGGAAUUGAACCCGGGUCCUCUGGAAGAGCAGCCAGUGCUCUUAACUUCUGAGCCAUCUGUCCAGCCAUGUCUUCUCUUUUCAUCACCCUGCCCUCUCUCCUUUGUUUCUCCCUCUCGACCUUCUCUCCUAUGUUUAUUCAUUAUAUUUUAUCUAGCAUCUUUAUCUUAAAACAUAGGACAUAGCCGGGCCGUGGUGGUGCACGCCUUUAGUCCCAGCACUCGGGAGGCAGAGCCAGGUGGAUCUCUGGGAGUUCGAGGCCAGCCUGGGCUACAGAGAGAGAUCCAGGACAGGCACCAAAGCCACACAGAGAAACCCUGUCUUGAAAAACAAAACAAAAACAAAAACCCAUAGGACACAGACACGAGGGGCGCAUCUCUGGUAGAGCACUUGUCUAGCAUGCUGGACCCUGCUUUCUUUAAUCAGAACUUCCUCCCCCAGGGAAGGACAAGAAACAAAGGAAAUCCAGGGCAGCUGGUUCUGGGUCUAGAUAACACAACAAAACCUUCUCUUCGGUUUGUGUUCAUGACGAUCUGAGAACCCUCAGGCGGGCCUUCCCUGGCUUCCAAAAGCCAGUCCUCAGCAGUCGGUCUGUGGCACAAAUCUUGCCAAUUUCCUUCUGACUCCUUUAUAAUCUUCCUAAGUUAAUUUUAGGAAUCAAAUCAGAAAAGCAAGUAAUCGACUUGUUACAUAGCAUUUUUGAGAUAAUGCAAUUACAUUUCUCCUGUAAUCCCUC